UAGGAAGUGGUGUAUGGGGCACGUAGAGUUUUGGUCUCUUUUGUAUAGGUUCAAAUCCUGUCUUUCUAA
rnacentral:tRNA from 1 species